rnacentral:rRNA from 1 species
UGGGGAAUCUUGCGCAAUGGCCGAAAGGCUGACGCAGCGACGCCGCGUGUGGGAGGAAGCUCUUCGGGGUGUAAACCACUGUUGCCCGGGACGAACAUCCGCUUUCGAGCGGACUGACGGUACCGGGUGAGGAAGCACCGGCUAACUCUGUGCCAGCAGCCGCGGUAAUACAGAGGGUGCGAGCGUUGUCCGGAAUCACUGGGCGUAAAGGGCGCGUAGGCGGCUCGGUCAGCGUGCGGUGAAAGCCCGGGGCUCAACCCCGGGUCGGCCGUGCGAACUGCGGAGCUGGAGCACUGUAGAGGCAGGUGGAAUUCCGGGUGUAGCGGUGGAAUGCGUAGAGAUCCGGAAGAACACCGGUGGCGAAGGCGGCCUGCUGGGCAGUGGCUGACGCUGAGGCGCGACAGCGUGGGGAGCAAACAG